rnacentral:rRNA from 1 species
UACGAUGGGGGCUAGCGUUGCUCGGAAUCACUGGGCGUAAAGCGCACGUAGGCGGCUUCCUAAGUCAGGGGUGAAAUCCUGGAGCUCAACUCCAGAACUGCCUUUGAUACUGGAGAGCUCGAGUCCGGAAGAGGUGAGUGGAACUCCGAGUGUAGAGGUGAAAUUCGUAGAUAUUCGGAAGAACACCAGUGGCGAAGGCGGCUCACUGGUCCGGUACUGACGCUGAGGUGCGAAAGCGUGGGGAGCAAACAGG